rnacentral:rRNA from 1 species
GUCGAUGCAAAACUGUGGUUUCAGGUACCAAUGGAAAAGGCGUGACUAAACAAACGGGUUCUUUUUCAGCAAAGGCAGAAAGCCCCUGGAGGUCUCGUAGAGGCGCAGCACUUGCAGAUAAAAGCACCCAAUGGGAGCUUCCUCUUCUCCCCCUCUUACGCCCGGUCCUGCCCACGUACGGCAGGGGCAGGGCAGGGCACGCUCCGUUAUCCAAUCCGGCGUCCUGCACGCACACCAUGUAGGCCACAAGAUCUCAGAUAGCUUAUGUCAUUGGUGGUGGCAUAAGCUACCAGUACCAGCUGCAUGCCUGUGCUCUUCUUCGCUUGGAGUGUGCCCUCGGCCAUGGCCCGUGGGCGCGUACGCAGCAACCCAGGGCAUGGAUCCGGCGUUGGCUAGCUACCUCUGGCCUGCAUCAAGCUGCAGCUGGCUAGGCUGCUUGGUUUCUUGAGGAAGCUCGGGGUGAAACUGCCAUGGCUGGCCGGCAGGGGCGGCCUCGUCCACGGCGGCGGCGGCGACUUCUCACCUCUACUAAGGUAGGGCAACUUCUAUCCUUUGGCAAUUGUGACUUCUCGAUCGGUAGUUGGGCGUGAUGAUCUCUCUCCUCCGAGUAGAGCACCGGUGGAGAUCAUAGCACGGUGCACGUGUGUGCGUAUCCUCUGUAUCGUCGUGUAACUACUAGCUAGCUAUACCAAGUUGAUAUGAAGCUAGUGUGGUUGUAUGUGUGAUCCUGCUUGAGUCUUUUGGUUCUGUGAUCUGUGGGCAGUAUAUGUGUUGAGUUUUGUACGUAUCUGGUAAGACUAGUGCCAUCAGUCGAUAAAUAUAAAUUUGACGUUUGCACACAGAUUGUGCUUGUAAGAUACUGAUACUCCUCCGUUGAUGUACAACGGUCGGUCGCUGCAUGUUCUAUUCUUCGGUUGAUUUCGGAAUCAUACCAAUAUUGUUCUGAUAUACUCGAUCAUCAGGCAUCAGCACAGCACUCUCCCGGCCUUUGUUCACUUAUCAAUUUGUCAGGCUUAGAAACUAGUAGUAGUACUGGCCUUCAGAAAUUGUAAGGAAAAGGGGCCGCUUCUUAUUUGUAUGCAUGUCUGUAUAUGACAUCCACGCCAUUUUCUAGGAGUCGAAGUGAUGGUAUUGAAAAUUUGUUCCUCUAGCAGUGCUGGUUUAAGCAUUGCGUUUCCUUUUCCAAACUCCAUUUAUUUCAUGUAGGAACCCUGAUCGGCCAGGUCAACGUCGGUAUAAGCAUGACUGCUUGAUUAUAGCCAC